CAGGCUUAACACAUGCAAGUCGAGGGGCAUCAGGAAGAAAGCUUGCUUUCUUUGCUGGCGACCGGCGCACGGGUGAGUAACACGUAUCCAACCCGCCCUUUACUCGGGGAUAGCCUUUCGAAAGAAAGAUUAAUACCCGAUGGCAUAAUGAUUCCGCAUGGUUUCAUUAUUAAAGGAUUCCGGUAAAGGAUGGGGAUGCGUUCCAUUAGGUUGUUGGUGAGGUAACGGCCCACCAAGCCUUCGAUGGAUAGGGGUUCUGAGAGGAAGGUCCCCCACAUUGGAACUGAGACACGGUCCAAACUCCUACGGGAGGCAGCAGUGAGGAAUAUUGGUCAAUGGGCGGUAGCCUGAACCAGCCAAGUAGCGUGAAGGAUGAAGGCUCUAUGGGUCGUAAACUUCUUUUAUAUAAGAAUAAAGUGCAGUAUGUAUACUGUUUUGUAUGUAUUAUAUGAAUAAGGAUCGGCUAACUCCGUGCCAGCAGCCGCGGUAAUACGGAGGAUCCGAGCGUUAUCCGGAUUUAUUGGGUUUAAAGGGAGCGUAGGUGGACUGGUAAGUCAGUUGUGAAAGUUUGCGGCUCAACCGUAAAAUUGCAGUUGAUACUGUCAGUCUUGAGUACAGUAGAGGUGGGCGGAAUUCGUGGUGUAGCGGUGAAAUGCUUAGAUAUCACGAAGAACUCCGAUUGCGAAGGCAGCUCACUGGACUGCAACUGACACUGAUGCUCGAAAGUGUGGGUAUCAAACAGGAUUAGAUACCCUGGUAGUCCACACAGUAAACGAUGAAUACUCGCUGUUUGCGAUAUACAGUAAGCGGCCAAGCGAAAGCAUUAAGUAUUCCACCUGGGGAGUACGCCGGCAACGGUGAAACUCAAAGGAAUUGACGGGGGCCCGCACAAGCGGAGGAACAUGUGGUUUAAUUCGAUGAUACGCGAGGAACCUUACCCGGGCUUAAAUUGCAGUGGAAUGAUGUGGAAACAUGUCAGUGAGCAAUCACCGCUGUGAAGGUGCUGCAUGGUUGUCGUCAGCUCGUGCCGUGAGGUGUCGGCUUAAGUGCCAUAACGAGCGCAACCCUUAUCUUCAGUUACUAACAGGUCAUGCUGAGGACUCUGGAGAGACUGCCGUCGUAAGAUGUGAGGAAGGUGGGGAUGACGUCAAAUCAGCACGGCCCUUACGUCCGGGGCUACACACGUGUUACAAUGGGGGGUACAGAAGGCAGCUAGCGGGUGACCGUAUGCUAAUCCCAAAAGCCUCUCUCAGUUCGGAUCGAAGUCUGCAACCCGACUUCGUGAAGCUGGAUUCGCUAGUAAUCGCGCAUCAGCCACGGCGCGGUGAAUACGUUCCCGGGCCUUGUACACACCGCCCGUCAAGCCAUGGGAGCCGGGGGUACCUGAAGUACGUAACCGCAAGGAUCGUCCUAGGGUAAAACUGGUGACUGGGGCUAAGA
rnacentral:rRNA from 1 species